UACGUAGGGUGCGAGCGUUGUCCGGAAUUAUUGGGCGUAAAGGGCUCGUAGGCGGUUUGUCGCGUCGGGAGUGAAAACCAGGUGCUUAACACCUGGCUUGCUUCCGAUACGGGCAGACUAGAGGUAGGCAGGGGAGAGCGGAACUCCUGGUGUAGCGGUGGAAUGCGCAGAUAUCAGGAAGAACACCGGUGGCGAAGGCGGCUCUCUAGGCCUUACCUGACGCUGAGGAGCGAAAGCGUGGGCAGCGAACAGG
rnacentral:rRNA from 1 species